rnacentral:rRNA from 1 species
GGUUAAGCGACUAAGCGUACACGGUGGAUGCCCUGGCAGUCAGAGGCGAUGAAGGACGUGCUAAUCUGCGAUAAGCGUCGGUAAGGUGAUAUGAACCGUUAUAACCGGCGAUUUCCGAAUGGGGAAACCCAGUGUGUUUCGACACACUAUCAUUAACUGAAUCCAUAGGUUAAUGAGGCGAACCGGGGGAACUGAAACAUCUAAGUACCCCGAGGAAAAGAAAUCAACCGAGAUUCCCCCAGUAGCGGCGAGCGAACGGGGAGCAGCCCAGAGCCUGAAUCAGUGUGUGUGUUAGUGGAAGCGUCUGGAAAGGCGCGCGAUACAGGGUGACAGCCCCGUACACAAAAAUGCACAUGCUGUGAGCUCGAUGAGUAGGGCGGGACACGUGGUAUCCUGUCUGAAUAUGGGGGGACCAUCCUCCAAGGCUAAAUACUCCUGACUGACCGAUAGUGAACCAGUACCGUGAGGGAAAGGCGAAAAGAACCCCGGCGAGGGGAGUGAAAAAGAACCUGAAACCGUGUACGUACAAGCAGUGGGAGCCUCUUUAUGGGGUGACUGCGUACCUUUUGUAUAAUGGGUCAGCGACUUAUAUUCUGUAGCAAGGUUAACCGAAUAGGGGAGCCGAAGGGAAACCGAGUCUUAACUGGGCGUUAAGUUGCAGGGUAUAGACCCGAAACCCGGUGAUCUAGCCAUGGGCAGGUUGAAGGUUGGGUAACACUAACUGGAGGACCGAACCGACUAAUGUUGAAAAAUUAGCGGAUGACUUGUGGCUGGGGGUGAAAGGCCAAUCAAACCGGGAGAUAGCUGGUUCUCCCCGAAAGCUAUUUAGGUAGCGCCUCGUGAAUUCAUCUCCGGGGGUAGAGCACUGUUUCGGCAAGGGGGUCAUCCCGACUUACCAACCCGAUGCAAACUGCGAAUACCGGAGAAUGUUAUCACGGGAGACACACGGCGGGUGCUAACGUCCGUCGUGAAGAGGGAAACAACCCAGACCGCCAGCUAAGGUCCCAAAGUCAUGGUUAAGUGGGAAACGAUGUGGGAAGGCCCAGACAGCCAGGAUGUUGGCUUAGAAGCAGCCAUCAUUUAAAGAAAGCGUAAUAGCUCACUGGUCGAGUCGGCCUGCGCGGAAGAUGUAACGGGGCUAAACCAUGCACCGAAGCUGCGGCAGCGACGCUUAUGCGUUGUUGGGUAGGGGAGCGUUCUGUAAGCCUGCGAAGGUGUGCUGUGAGGCAUGCUGGAGGUAUCAGAAGUGCGAAUGCUGACAUAAGUAACGAUAAAGCGGGUGAAAAGCCCGCUCGCCGGAAGACCAAGGGUUCCUGUCCAACGUUAAUCGGGGCAGGGUGAGUCGACCCCUAAGGCGAGGCCGAAAGGCGUAGUCGAUGGGAAACAGGUUAAUAUUCCUGUACUUGGUGUUACUGCGAAGGGGGGACGGAGAAGGCUAUGUUGGCCGGGCGACGGUUGUCCCGGUUUAAGCGUGUAGGCUGGUUUUCCAGGCAAAUCCGGAAAAUCAAGGCUGAGGCGUGAUGACGAGGCACUACGGUGCUGAAGCAACAAAUGCCCUGCUUCCAGGAAAAGCCUCUAAGCAUCAGGUAACAUCAAAUCGUACCCCAAACCGACACAGGUGGUCAGGUAGAGAAUACCAAGGCGCUUGAGAGAACUCGGGUGAAGGAACUAGGCAAAAUGGUGCCGUAACUUCGGGAGAAGGCACGCUGAUAUGUAGGUGAAGCGACUUGCUCGUGGAGCUGAAAUCAGUCGAAGAUACCAGCUGGCUGCAACUGUUUAUUAAAAACACAGCACUGUGCAAACACGAAAGUGGACGUAUACGGUGUGACGCCUGCCCGGUGCCGGAAGGUUAAUUGAUGGGGUUAGCGGUAACGCGAAGCUCUUGAUCGAAGCCCCGGUAAACGGCGGCCGUAACUAUAACGGUCCUAAGGUAGCGAAAUUCCUUGUCGGGUAAGUUCCGACCUGCACGAAUGGCGUAAUGAUGGCCAGGCUGUCUCCACCCGAGACUCAGUGAAAUUGAACUCGCUGUGAAGAUGCAGUGUACCCGCGGCAAGACGGAAAGACCCCGUGAACCUUUACUAUAGCUUGACACUGAACAUUGAGCCUUGAUGUGUAGGAUAGGUGGGAGGCUUUGAAGUGUGGACGCCAGUCUGCAUGGAGCCG